rnacentral:rRNA from 1 species
UUCCUUGGAAAGGACAGCUGAGAGGGUGAAACUCCCGUCCGCCUGGUAGAAUGAGUCUUUGUCAACGAGUCGAGUUGUUUGGGAUUGCAGCUCUAAUUUGGUGGUAAAUUCCAUCUAAAGCUAAAUAUUGGUGGGAGACCGAUAGCGUACAAGUACCGUGAGGGAAAGAUGCAAAGAACUUUGAAAAGAGAGUUAAAGAGUACCUGAAAUCGCUGAAACGGAAGCGAAGGAAACCAGUGUCUGUUGGUUCAUAUUUCCUUGGCCACUUGUGGUUUGGGCG